UCCAUAUUUUUUUAUUAGUCCUAUACAACAAGGUUGUUUUCACACUUUUUUUAUCAAGUUCAUCUAGAUGUCUAAGCGAUUUGCUUUUCCCUUUCAUAUAUUCCCCAGUCAAUUCCUAUGUCAGCCUUCCAAUUAUUUCCUUAAUAAUCUCAUUCUCAUUUGCCAAAUAUCAGUACCCCUAGAGUUCCUUUUAUCUAUAGAACUUCAAGUUUCUUUAACUAUAUCAUAUAUAUCCUCCUUAUGCAGCUAGCUGUUUUCAAAUCUGAAACAGCUAGCCUGCUUAGGUACUACCCCAAUAUGUAAUACUAGGGGGGACAUUAUCAGAAAGAACCCUUUCUAAAGCUAAGAUAGAAGUGAGUGGGAAUUCCAUUUCAUACUAUGUAUCUGUUAAGAUUCUGUCCAAUUUCUCAUAUGUGGGACAUCAUGACCAUUACUCUAGGUAAACUGAGCUACAAAGAUUAGCUAACUCUGCAUGGAAUUCCUGUUUCUUAUCAUGCUGCGCUACCCCAUAAAUUACAAUCAGAUUCCACUUAAAGUCAGAAUUAUGCUUUUGCAAUAACAUCCUGGCAAAAUACAACAGCAGCAUUAGUAAUGUUUAAAAUUUUGAAUGCAUGUAAAACAUUUCCUUUUUUUAAGGGGACCAAGUAAUGCCUAUGUAAUGCUGACGGGACUUGUAAGUAAUUCCUUCUGAAAAUAGUUUCUAGCACCGUCUGGUAACAGCCAGUUCCUGAAUUAAGGUAGCUUUAGUAUAAAUGAAUCUGACUUAUUGGUUUACUAGUUUUUCAGGUUAAACUGAGGCAUAACGCAGAAAGCAAGGCUUUCUUUUAGUUUUUUUUUUUUCUGUCAUGGAUCAGAAUGUUGAUGCUGUUCAUGGAGAUAACCAUGCGUUCCAUGUUGAGUUUCGUACAUCUCUAGUACGAUUGGUUUCCAAUAAACCGGUGGAACAAGCUAAAAGGAAAUAUAUUUUUGUUCCUGGCAUACCUAUUGUGUCAGUGAAUGGCAUUUGCUAUAUAAUAUCGCAUAGCAGAGUGUUCUGUCAAGAAGAUGCACACAAUUGGCAACAUGAAGUCAUUUUUCCUGACGGAACUGCAGAGCCGCUUAUAACAGAAGAUGUAAGAAUACAAGGAGAUCUGGCAGCAUUUUCUGUUAGUACAACUGCAGGACUGCCAGAUCCAGUAAAAUUCAGUGGACAACAGGUUUCACACAAUCAGGAAGUUUAUACAGUUAAUUAUGAAGGGAUGAGGGAGCCAAGCUUGUUAGUUCGUGGUCGUGUAACGCAUGUAGGUGAAGGAUCAUUUUUCCAUGAUUGUACUCCCGGUACAUUUACUAUAUAUGGAUCGCCAGUUUUCAACGAGCAAAGUGAGCUUGUUGGCAUAUGUCAUAAAAAUUAUGGCGUUAUUGAAGCAUUUGAUGUGAAUGAGAUAGAAAAACUGCUUUCAGGAAUUGAUCCAGGCAUGGCGAACAAGUCACUUUCUGAGAUUCUGCAGCAUAUAAAGGCCACAAUCCAAGCAAAUUGAAAGGCAUUUUUCUUGGUAAGUUGUCAUGGUUGUUUAUUUCUUUCUUUCUUUUUCUUUUUUUUUUUUUGUGGGGAAGCCCAGACUGGGCUUAACCAAUUUCAUUAAGGGGGAAAGCAUGUACAGGGUCGGUUUUACACUCUCAGCAGAGUUUGCUGAGGCUAGGAAAAGAAAAAACCGGCCAGAGCCAGGAAGUCACAGAUGUAUGCUACUCCUCACAAUGUUUGAAAUAACCCGCUUCCCUCCAGAUGAGCCAAAAAAUCAAUAGGCAUGCGGAAUCAAAGGAUUUUCUGAAUUUCUUCUUGAAGCACUUCCGUGUCGUCAACCACCAUUCGUCUAUUGCCAUGCCAAUCUCCCUCGGUAGUUGGAAUGGAACCGAUGUCCAGCAUCUCCACCGGUUCCAGACCUGGUUUGUGAAAUGGCAGCUAAUGAACAGAUGAUGACAAGUUUCCUGUGGCGCUUGACACAGGGGGCAAGAAACCUGCAUCGGCCAUCCUCGCUUCAUUAAGUUGUCCGCUGUUAAACAUCGCUCCUUCACUGCGAGCCAGAUGAAGAAGCGGAUUUUCGUUGGGGCCCUCGUCUUCCACAACAAAGCACCCCAUCGGCAACGUUCUUUGGCUAGGAAGAAGAUCUCGUAAGCUGAGGAGGCCGUGAAGUUACCAUGAGACUCCCGGCCCCAAAUGAUAGAAUAGGACCCCAUUUGCGUCCAACUGUAUGUCCUCGAGAUGGUCCCAUAAUUGCAGGUACUCUGUUGGAUGGUGCUCCUCUGAUAGUUCUGAUCCAGUGGCGAUUAUGCAUACCUUGGUGCACUGUCAUGCUGGGUUUGGAGGCGUGAUAGAACAGCGCAGGGAAAGCUUGUCUGAUGGGUCCACAUGGUAGCCCAGAAUUCUGUAUCUUUCCCAUCUCCCACUUGCACUUUUGUUGCUGCAUAGAACAAAUUAUCUAGUUGACGAUCAUGUUGGUAUUUCCACAGUGCCGCCCACGGCCUGUCUUUCUGUAUUUUCGCCAGGACUGCCCAUUUCAGCCGCAAUGCUUUUCCGAAGCAGUUAAUGUCUUUGAUGCCUAGUCCUCCCAACUGUUUUGGCAUGCAAACUGCACCCCAUGCAACUAAG